CGGACGGGUGAGUAACGCGUGGAUAACCUGCCGUAUGCAGGGGGAUACCAACUGGAAACAGUUGCUAAUACCGCAUAAGCGCACAGUGUCGCAUGACACGGUGUGAAAAGAUUUAUCGGCAUACGAUGGAUCCGCGUCCGAUUAGCCAGUUGGCGGGGUAACGGCCCACCAAAGCGACGAUCGGUAGCCGGCCUGAGAGGGCGGACGGCCACAUUGGGACUGAGACACGGCCCAAACUCCUACGGGAGGCAGCAG
rnacentral:rRNA from 1 species